UGGGGAAUAUUGGACAAUGGGCGCAAGCCUGAUCCAGCCAUGCCGCGUGCAGGAUGACGGUCCUAUGGAUUGUAAACUGCUUUUAUACAGGAAGAAACAGUUCUACGUGUAGAACCUUGACGGUACUGUAAGAAUAAAGGAUCGGCUAACUCCGUGC
rnacentral:rRNA from 1 species